CCGCCUCUCUCUCUCUCUAUGUAUAAAUGUAUAUAUAUAUAUAUAUAUAUAUAUAUAUAUAUAUAUAUAUAUAUAUGAGAGAGAGAGAGAGAGAG